rnacentral:sRNA from 1 species
GGCUGGUUCCAUGGUAGUGGGUUAUCAGAACUUGUAUACAACCACCCGCUGCUAAAUUUGACUGACUUUUA